UAGUCCACGCCGUAAACGCUGAUCACUGGAUGUUGGUUCGGCUCUGUCGAAUCAGUAUCGAAGCUAACGCGUUAAGUGAUCCGCCUGGGGAAUACGGUCGCAAGAUUAAAACUCAAAGGAAUUGACGGGGGUCCGCACAAGCGGUGGAACAUGUGGUUUAAUUCGUCGCUACGCGAGGAACCUUACCUGGGCUUGACAUGUAUUUGACCUCUGUGGAAACACAGCUUUCUAGGCUUCGGUCUAGACAGAUACACAGGUGCUGCAUGGUUGUCGUCAGCUCGUGUCGUGAGAUGUUGGGUUAAGUCCUCUAACGAGCGCAACCCUUGUCGUCAGUUGCCACUGCCUUCGGGUAAAGCACUCUGGCGAGACUGCCUGGGGAAACCAGGGAGGAAGGUGGGGGAUGACGUCAAAUCAUCAUGGUCCUUAUGUCCAGGGGCUACACACGUGUUACAAUGGGCCAGUACAGAGGGGUUGCAAUACCGGUAAGGGUGGGAG
rnacentral:rRNA from 1 species